UACGGAGGGAGCUAGCGUUGUUCGGAAUUACUGGGCGUAAAGCGCGCGUAGGCGGCUUUGUAAGUUAGAGGUGAAAAGCCCCGGGGGCUCAACUCCGGAACUGCCUUUAAGACUGCAUCGCUUGAAUCCGGGGAGAGGUGGAGUGGAAUUCCGAGUGUAGAGGGUGAAAAUUCGUAGAUAUUCGGGAAGAACACCAGUGGCGAAAGGGCGGGCUCACUGGGACCCGGGUAAUU
rnacentral:rRNA from 1 species